rnacentral:rRNA from 1 species
GACGAACGCUUGCGGCGUGCCUAAGAAAUGCAAGUCGAACGAGUUCACCUUCGGGUGGAUGUAGUGGCGAACGGUCGCGUAACACGUAGGCAACCUGCCCUAAAGUGGGGGACAACAAUCCGAAAGGAUUGCUAAUACCGCAUGUGGCCAACGAGAGGCAUCUCUUGUUGUCUAAAACCCUUCGGGGUGCUUUAGGAUGGGCUUGCGGCCUAUCAGCUUGUUGGUGGGGUAACGGCCUACCAAGGCGACGACGGGUAGCUGGUCUGAGAGGAUGGUCAGCCGGAUUGGGACUGAGAUACGGCCCAGACUCCUACGGGGGGCAGCAAUUAGGAAUCUUGCACAAUGGGCGAAAGCCUGAUGCAGCGACGCCGCGUGAGGGAUGACCGGGCCUUC